rnacentral:rRNA from 1 species
GGGGGCGGUCUACCAUGCAAGUCGAACGGUAACAGGAAGAAGCUUGCUUCUUUGCUGACGAGUGGCGGACGGGUGAGUAAUGUCUGGGAAACUGCCUGAUGGAGGGGGAUAACUACUGGAAACGGUAGCUAAUACCGCAUAACGUCGCAAGACCAAAGAGGGGGACCUUCGGGCCUCUUGCCAUCGGAUGUGCCCAGAUGGGAUUAGCUAGUAGGUGGGGUAACGGCUCACCUAGGCGACGAUCCCUAGCUGGUCUGAGAGGAUGACCAGCCACACUGGAACUGAGACACGGUCCAGACUCCUACGGGAGGCAGCAGUGGGGAAUAUUGCACAAUGGGCGCAAGCCUGAUGCAGCCAUGCCGCGUGUAUGAAGAAGGCCUUCGGGUUGUAAAGUACUUUCAGCGGGGAGGAAGGGAGUAAAGUUAAUACCUUUGCUCAUUGACGUUACCCGCAGAAGAAGCACCGGCUAACUCCGUGCCAGCAGCCGCGGUAAUACGGAGGGUGCAAGCGUUAAUCGGAAUUACUGGGCGUAAAGCGCACGCAGGCGGUUUGUUAAGUCAGAUGUGAAAUCCCCGGGCUCAACCUGGGAACUGCAUCUGA